GUCAAGCUGCGCUUUUUCAUUUAUCCUGGAUAUCUUUAUUCUACUUUCGAGCAACAGGCCCCUGGUUUAAAUAUAUUUUCGGUUGAUGCCUUUACAAAUGUAAUGACGCACUUACGCCACAAGAGGGAGUAUCGUUAGGUGAGCGCUAGUUGGAACAACGGCUUCCGUCCCUCAGACAGAGGACAGCCUGCCGAACGGACGCUACUAAUGUGUCCUGUUGCUUUUUCCUGCAUCAAAACAGUUCCACCAAACAUCCUGUCAGGCAUGGAGGGGUCUCGGCAAACACCGGACCAUGUACACCAUCAAUGAUAAGGUGCAGGGCACACAUCGUCAGACCCAGUUAAAGAUUCAGCAGCAAGACACAAUCAAAGGUGGUGUCCUGUCACCAGUUUCACUAAACUGCUGGACCAGACUAUGUGCAAAUAUGGGCGUGUGCUAAUCCAUCUGAUCAAGAUUACGCAGGAGGGGCAUUAACAGGUCCCGUUAACCCUCUGAGGACAAAAGGCGCACUGGUAAUUCCACACAAUAUUUAACAAAACUUCUAUUCAAAAAGCAAUAUUACAAAAUUUUAUUUGACAUUUAUUUACUAUUCAAACAUAUAUAACCUAAAGACUUUGGUAAACUCAUUUCAAGCACCAAAACAAGUAGUACAACACGUCACAAGUUGAGGUUUGUUUAAAAAAGAGAUUUGAGGAAUCUCAAAAAGCAAACUUCUACUUUAGCGCCAAAUUAUCUUGUUACACAUUGCUACAGAAAAAAAAAUGUGGGCGUCACUGUAUGGAAAGCUGAGUUUGUUCUGAACGUUUUGAUGUAAAACACAUGGGAGCAGUUGCAUGUCAAAUACCCUUAAAGGUACAUUUAAAACAAAAGACAUGUGAAAAUGCCCUUAUAUCCUUAUUGCACAUUGUAAUGAUUUUGUACCACCAAUUAUAACCUUUAUUGGUACCGUAAUUUGACGUGCUAGCAAGCUAACCUUAGCUAGCUAACAGCGGCAGUUUAACCAUAUUGGCAAAUAAGUUAUAAGCUACAAUAACGUUACAUGUGUUGUAGUAUAUUGUUGUUUGUGUUAAACUAUUGUGCCACUGUAGAAGACUUAAGUGUUAAAUGUGUGAUCUUAACAAUUUGUAUAUAUUCUGAUGUGCACGUCUAGGGGCGACGACGGCCAUCAGACCGUAGAAGGAUCCCCUGGAGAGUCUGAAGUCCCCCCUCAUGUCCCUAUCCCCAUCUAACUAGCUACGGCCUGGGGGGAGCCUGCAGAGCUACUGACUAAUUUUUAAAAUAAAAUUAUAUUAAAAGAAUUUAACUUUGUUAUUUUUUGUAUUACACGUUGCAUGACUGUAGCAAGCAUAUAAUGUUAGUGCAUAUACAAAUAGAGGAAUGGGAUCUAUUUACAUGUAAAUUCUGUUACCUCUGCUUUCACUAUUGCAUUGUCAUGGUAUGAAGACCAUUUAGAACCAAAAUACAACCUAAAAUAACAGAUGUAAUGAUGUUUUGUCUAUUAGGUAAGUUGUAAGGGUAGUGCUUCACAACAACAGUCUUAUCUAUGGGCCACAAGCAUGUCCUCAUGAAACCAAUAUGUGGCUGCGAACAGGAUUGUGAACAUUUUAAACUCUUCUGUGGACAUUGUGUUGAAACGUUGUGUCUGUGCAGAAGUCAUGUCAGUUUUCAUGCUACCUCACCCUCUUUUUUCUCCACUCUAUCCUUCUCCAUUCAAACCUCUCACCCCAGCUCUGUCCCUACUGUGUCCUACAUAAAGAUGCCUGGAUCGACUAAAAAGUCCUGUAUCUCUUGCCCUACCAUGAUUGGCGUGGCAAGAAAGAAGUGCCACCUUUGUGGAAGAGAGCAGCCAUACAAGGCAAUUAAAAUGAAUAAGUUAAAAAAAAAUUGAAGAAAAACCACCAACAAAGGGCAAUGCCGUAAAGGCACUGGAUAGUGCCUUUAUUGAUUUACAUAAAUUGAAAGCAGUGGGGUUCUACCCCCUGCCGCUGGUGGCGAAGCAGAGGAACAAGAAAUUUAAGGCCCAGCUGCUCCACCUGGCAGCCAUCCAGGGAGACGAUGAAGGCCUUUGCAACAGUUAAAGUGGUCUUCGAGUCCGUCCUCAACUACUGUUCCUAUUGCCACCAGGAAAUCGUUGAUGGCAAUGUCCUUCGUGAAAGACAUCAAAAGGUUUGUAUAGGAGGGAAAAAUGAGUGCAUUACCAGUAGAUUGGCUAUUAUUUCAGUUAAAGUGGGGUAGCAUACUGGCUAAGGAACUAUGCUAGCAUUAAUUAACCAGAAAAGUUGUGGGUUCCAUUCCCAGUUGUCACUGUUGUGCCUUUGAACAGGACACUGAACUUCUACAGUAGUUGAUCUUGGGGAAGCUGGCCCUUGCAAUAAUUGACAUAUGGAAGUUGCUUUGGAGAAAAGUGCUACAUACAACUACAAAUUCAAUUCCAAGAAAUUACCACUGCAUGAAAAUGCAAAAAAAAAUAAAAAAAGUAAAAUAUAAUAUGAGUCAUUCCGUGUUAAAUCAGAUAAAAAUCCUUGAAAAUGUUUGGUGGACAAUCUCAGAUUUAGCUCAAAGUUUGUUAACCUAACAUUUAGGGCCCAAAACUAAGACCUGUUAAAUUCCAAUGUUUUCACCCUUGACUUUUAUCAUUUUUACAGUCUCUGAAAUGCCUUAUCUUUAACCUUCACAAACUUAUUAGGGUGGAACACAGACAUGUUCUUGGUAUGAUUGGACCGUUAUAAUGUUGUACUGCAUGCCAAUUAGUUUCAUAUAAGGGUCUGAUAUGGAAACAUGUAAAACUGGUGAUAUUGAGGGCCUUGUGAUUUAAUUUUGCAGAACUUAAGUCAAUGAACAGCAUUCAUACAUAGGUGUUGCUAUUGUCAAGGUGGGACAAGGCAGAGUGAAUUGUCAUAGAGUGCUUUGGCACCAGCACUAUGGAGGUUUUAAAGCACGCUGGGACAACUGCCUGGGCUAUUGACAGAUUAAAUAUGUCAGUCCAAACCUCAGUCAACUGCUCAGCACAGGCCCUGAGUGCGCGUCCGGGGAUACCAUCAGGACCAGCAGCCUUUAUUGUAAUAUUGCGGGGAGAGAGAGGGAGAGCGAGGUAGGAGGCGGACGAUGGAGCACUAGAGCGGAGGACCGGAGGACAGGUGAGGGGUCAGGAACUGAGAGGAGCCCCGGCUGGGGAGCGGGGAGGAGACACUGGCACACGGAGGAGCGGAGAGGAGGCUGGUGAAGAGCGGCCGAAGAGCGGAUGCUGAUACGAGAAGAGGGCGCCGAGGGAGAGGGUCCGGAGCCAGCUGACCGGAGGAGAGGAUUACUGAAAAGUAGAGCAAGGAAGCCGAAAAGAUGACGAAGCUGCAGGCAUUGGAGAGGUCACUGAGAAGUUAGAAGAGCUUGUGCUGGCAUCCCAGAGCCUUCCAGAUAUCACUGCAGCAAUCAGAGAGCUCACCAACCUGGCUGCCACUCAGAGAGUCAUCCUGAAUCAUCCACAGCUACAGACCAUCAAGCAAGGACUCUGCUGUGUUGUUUGUAUAACUAAGUAUGCAAUAGAUAUUGUCCCACAUGAAAGAUAAUUCUGGAUCUAUUUUAUUUUUUGUGUGACAGAAUUUGAGAUUUCCAAAUACAAAUCAUUUUUACAUUCUCUACCCAAGAUCAGCUGUCUCAUCCACAACAAUUAACUGCAUCUACUGAUGCAAACCUUUUUGUACCAGCUCAUAGUGUAAUGUUACAAAAACAAAGUGUAAUGUUUAAGCACUAAAGUUGUACACUUGUUUAGUAAAAAUAAAACACUGUCAUCCAAUACAUGAAGAAAACUUUGAGGACAGACGGGAUAAAUGAGAAAGACAAAUAUUUUCUUUUUUAGAGUUCAUCGAGGAGCCCGUCUUCACACUGUGUUGUCGAAGCAUUAUUGGUUGCACAACAUGUGUGGAACAGUGGCAGGAGACGUCUGUGCACUGUGCAAAAUGCAGAGAGAACUGGCUCUGGCUGCUUGCUUCUAUAGCUUCCUACAUCUGCCACGCAAAUAGGAGUAGAACAGCCAAAGAAUCAUGGGUAAUUUACACAACUGGCUGAUGCUUACAGACCAAGAGAGAACGUUGUACAAGGGAACAGCACAUAAGUCUGACAUUUUAUUCAACAGAGCAGGUUUCACAGCAUGACCGUACUUUGAAAACCACUUUAAGUAAGGUUAUAGUAAAACAACAAGUCCAAAGGUGUCACUGACAGAUAAGCAGCAGGUACAAAUGCUAUAAAUACUACAGGAAGCUUGUCUUCCGUCAUUGUGGCACUUCAUAUGAUGAGUGGUGUACUAACGUAGGUGGGCUGCCGGUGGGCUGAACCUCUCCAGGAGGCAGACAGGAAUAGUUUCAAGGUUAAAGUAAGUAUACUCACCAGCGAGUCUUGUAUGACUUCACUCUUGUAAAAAUCUAGAAAGACAUCAGAGAAUACUGGUUAAAAAGAAGGUAGAAAACGCUCAUGCACAACCAACUGGGUUACAUCUACCCUAAAAUGCAAUUCACAGAGCAGCGGCAUGGACAUUGAACUAGUGAGACACUCUGUUCUGCGGGCUUUUUUGUUUAAAUGUGCACUAUGAG